GAUAACUUGAGUAUACGUUCUUCUAUCGAACAGGAUAUUCAACUUAUAUAAGACUUGGCCAGCCCGAGGCCUUUCGUAUUCAGAAUAUGAAUGAAUGAAUGAAUGAUGUUUAUUACGCCCGGAGGGACUACCUGUUGGAAUCCACGUAUAUGCUAGUAAACGGGUAACAUAGGUUACCAUACAAAAUUGAUAUGUGAGUCGAUGUGUCCUUGUUGUUGACUAUGUUGGGCCCCCACGUCGCCCUUUUUUUUACUCGUUCUUUCCCCUUUAUCGUGGGUAUUUGCCAAGAUGCUAAUAUACAUUUUACAGCCUCUUAUUGGCUGAAAGUCCUGACCGUUUUGAGAUUAGCCUCGGUCAUAUUAGCAGGCUUCCAACACUACCUAACCCUAUAGGGCACUAGCAUACGGCACCGAACGGGAUUUUUUACCUCACAAGACGGCGCAUACGGCACCAAACGGGAUUUUUUACCGCACAAGACGGUGCAUACGGCACCGAACGGGAUUUUUUACCUCACAAGACGGCGCAUACGGCACCGAACGGGAUUUUUUACCGCACAAG
rnacentral:lncRNA from 1 species